CCGGUCGGUAGGAACGUACGCCGUCCUACGAGGGACGGAACAAGUAGGUAAGAAANACGAACUGCUAAUACCGCAUGAUACAUUUGAAUCGCAUGGUUUGAAUGUCAAAGAUUUAUCGCUGAAGGAUGGCCUCGCGUCUGAUUAGCUAGUUGGUGGGGUAACGGCCCACCAAGGCGACGAUCAGUAGCCGGACUGAGAGGUUGGCCGGCCACAUUGGGACUGAGAUACGGCCAGACUCCUACGGGAGGCAGCAG
rnacentral:rRNA from 1 species